rnacentral:rRNA from 1 species
GACGAACGCUGGCGGCGUGCUUAACACAUGCAAGUCGAACGGUUAAGCGCCUUCCUUUUUGGUGGGUGUGGAUGAGUGGCGAACGGGUGAGUAACACGUGAGUAACCUGCACCCUUCUUCUGGAUAACCGCAUGAAAGUGUGGCCAAUACGGGAUAUUCUGGGUCUGUCGCAUGAUGGGUCUGGGAAAGAUAUUGUUUCGGUGGGGGGUGGGCUCGCGGCCUAUCCGCUUGUUGGUGGGGUGAUGGCCUACCAAGGCGGGGACGGGUGCCCGGCCUGGGGGGGUGGACGGGCACAUGGGGACUGAGGCACGGCCCAGACUGGUACGGGACGCAGCCGUGGGGAAUAGUGGACAAUGGGCGCGAGCAUGAUGCAGCGACGGCGCGUGAGGGAUGGAGGCCUUCGGGGUGUGAACCGCUUGCGCCAGGGAAGCAGGCCUGCCUCGUUUGUGGGUGGGUUGACGGUAGCUGGAGAAGAAGCGCCGGCUAACUACGUG